GACGAACGCUGGCGGCGUGCUUAACACAUGCAAGUCGAACGAAGAGCGAUGGAAGCUUGCUUCUAUCAAUCUUAGUGGCGAACGGGUGAGUAACGCGUAAUCAACCUGCCCUUCAGAGGGGGACAACAGUUGGAAACGACUGCUAAUACCGCAUACGAUCUAAUCUCGGCAUCGAGGAUAGAUAAAAGGUGGCCUCUACAUGUAAGCUAUCACUGAAGGAGGGGAUUGCGUCUGAUUAGCUAGUUGGAGGGGUAACGGCCCACCAAGGCGAUGAUCAGUAGCCGGUCUGAGAGGAUGAACGGCCACAUUGGGACUGAGACACGGCCCAGACUCCUACGGGAGGCAGCAGUGGGGAAUCCUCCGCAAUAGACGAAAGUCUGACGGAGCAACGCCGCGUGAGUGAUGACGGCCUUCGGGUUGUAAAGCUCUGUUAAUCGGGACGAAAGGCCUUCUUGCGAAUAGUGAGAAGGAUUGACGGUACCGGAAUAGAAAGCCACGGCUAACUACAUG
rnacentral:rRNA from 1 species